AAUGUGACCUUAAUUUUGAAAGAUGAUACUGGAAGAUUCUGAAGAGUAGAGAUUGAACGGAUUGAAAAAGCUUACUUGUGGUGACGGAUGCUCCCAAUGAAAACAAAAAUUGAAAAACAAUCAGCUCUUAUGUAUAGAUACUGAAAAGACCCUUGAUAAUGUUCAUUGGAGCUCUAUAAGAAGAAUGCUGCAGAAUUUAAAGACGGGCGGACAUUUUUAAGCUGGAGAAAAACAAUACACACAAAACAAAAUGAGGAGUGAAAGAGCAAAAGCGGGUUUUAAAAAGAAAGAAAAGACCCCCCCAACGUAAAGAAAGCAGCCGUGUUGCAGGAGCUGCGUGCACAAAGGGACAGAGAAGAAAGACUUCCAAGGAUGGGAAGAAUCCCGGGUCCUCCACACUCUACCGGCUUCACAGCAGGAACACAAGGCUCAAAUCAUAAUGCUGGACCAUCAUCAAGUUCUUUCGGUUUGGGCCACUAGCUUCCAAUCUGAAGUAUUUAUGCUGCAACCCGAUGUGAGUUAGGUUGGCCCUGUCUCCACUGCUCUUUAAUCUACCUCUUGAGAUCUUACCUGACAAGUCUUUGGUGGAAAGCUCAGAUCUUCUGUCGAAACCUGAUGCAAAGGGCGACUCAGCAUCACAGGCAUAACAGCAGGUACAUGGUAGGUUGGGUUUUAAAAAGUAAAGGUUAUCUCCUGAAUACUCAAACGUAUUACAAGUCGUGAAGAAGAGGAUUCGAGAAGACCUGGCCACAAAGCCAUUUCCUCCUUCGCUCUGUGAAACAACAGCUCACCAUUCAGCUGUUAGCUCUCAGGAAUAGCCCAUGGAGUUGGAACUGGGGGGCGGGACUCCAAGGCAUAACAAGAUGGGCUUCCGCUCAGAGGCAAAACCCUUGGGCAUUUUUGAAAAUCUGAUUCUCGGGAUCUCUGGCAGAUUCCCCUGCUUAAAUCAAGGGGAUGUACGGAUGCAUAUAGGGAGUCUAUGCAGGUGAGCUGCCUGGGACUUCCAGCUGCCGGUUGGGAAAUUCCAUGUCGAUUUGGGGGCUAUAUCCUGGCAGGUGAGUUUGGGGAAGGGGAUCUCAGUGGGACAGAAUCUGAUAGAGCAGGUAUCCCCCAUGGAUGCCCCGGCACCUGCCAUUACUUGGGGGUCUCUGUCUCCCACUGCAGAGAACUUGUCAUCUUCAAACAUCAUCUCAGGAAUCUUUAGCUCCCCUCCUCCUCCUCCUCCUCCUCCUCCUCCUCCUCCUCCUCCUCCUCCUCCUCCUUCCUCCUCCUCCUCCUCCUUUCCUCCUCCUCCUCCUCCACCACCACUAUCACCUUGGUCUCGUCAAAGUAGCAGCCACAGUUUCUGCCUUGCCAAUAGCUACGACUCCCCUCUGAGGCCAAGGAUUUCCCUCCCCCUCCCCCCACCUCCUAGCAGCAGCCUAAUGGGGGAAAUGUGCUGGGGAAUGGGGUGGGCACUCUGCAGAGAGAACCACCUCUUCCAGGCAACUGAGCUUCAACCGCUCUUGAUGCUGCCCCCUAUCUGCAUGCUGCUAAAGGUAGAUGCCCCCAUGGCUCCCCCACUAAGAGGUCACCCUCCAAAGCAGCCAUUUUCUUCAGAGGAGCUCAUCUCUGUACUCAGGAGAUGAUGACCUAUAAUUCUGAGGGAUUACCUGGACGCUGACAUCGCUACACUGGCUAUGCCAUACCACAGCGGCCAUUUUGCUGUUGUGCCCAUAGAGAUGUGCCGUCAUCCCAAAUGUGCCUGGAGACUGAAAAAGAUACCCCCCACACCCUUCAAAUCAGCCAUUUGAUCCAGGGGAACAGACCUCUCUUGUCCAGAGAUCAGUUGGAAUUCUGGGAGAUCUCCAGGUUCUACCUGGAGGCUGGCAACCUACAGUUCUCUACCAACCAAAUCGCUGUCAACAUCCCCUCUCUCUUGCUCACUUGCAGCCCCCAUUUGCUUCUUCUGCAUUCCACGAUGACAGCAUCCUUCACCAUCACCUUCUUCUCCAAAGGUUCCGAGGUUGCCACAGCGAUGACAGCAAACAUUCUUGAAUCCUUACUGGGUAAACCGCUCUUCAGUGCUGGAGGUUGUCUCUCUCUGCCUCUCGCUCGUGUCUCCUCUCUCGUGUCUCCUAAUUGAACAUCUUUUGAACCUUUUCCUUCAGUAUGCCAGGUAGGAAUCUCUUAGACUUCCAUGUUCAAAAGGACUCUCCAGUUCUCUGUUCCCUAACUGAUUUAGCAGAGGGUCAUUUUGUGUUGAUGUUCAUAGAUGGGGGAGUUGGGUGGCAAGUUGAAGAAGGUGGAACAAAACAAAGGAGAAAGUAUGACCCAGAGAAGAGAAAAUAAAGAAGGAAACCCGAAAGAAGCGUGAUUGAGUCUGCGCCCACAGUGCCCAAGUUAAUAUUUCAAAAUGUAAACUAUGGCAGUGGUUACAAACAAUAGAGAAUAGGACGGGGGUGGAGAAGCAAGAGAGAUGAGGCUGUGCCCAGGGAAAAUAGAAGGCAACUCACCUACCCCAUCUAGAUACAUCAAGGUUUGGUUUCAGUUUAGCUUGAGCAGGAAUUAGUGUAAUUGGACACUGAUUCUUUGAGAGAAACCCUCACAAUCCCAUUUGUCUUCUGGCUUGGAAAUUGGGGACAUCAAGGCUAUUAGCAGCCAGGUCUCCAGGUCGGUAACAACACCAGAUCCAGAAGUGGGUCUUUAAAUGGCUCCUUCCAUUCAUAACACGAGAAAUAGUUUCCUCUUUUUCAAAUUAAGGAAGCAUCACACCUUCCCUUUCAUAUAGUUUGGGAAAGCUUUCAAGUCUAUCUCAUUUCAAAGUUUGGCCAACAAAGAAAAGAAUGAAUUUGGAGACCAUUCCUUGAAAGAACCUGAGGAGCAAAAGAACAAACAUUAAAAAUAGCAGCUGAAAAUAGGAAAAACAGUGCUAGAUACAUUUUUUUAAAGGUCCAGUUAUUAGAGGCACAACAAUCGGCCAAGGAUUUUUGACACGAGAAGCAAAAUACGUUUGAACAUGCAAACAAGUCGGAAAAGAGGUUCAUGAAGUUGUGACAAGAAAAGCCAGCAGGUCCUGAAGAACGGGCUGACCAACAACUCAGAUCUGUGAAACAAGCCAUAGAAUUCUACCUGGAAAAAUAAGAAGUUUUUGGAAGAGAAAGGCAAAGAAGAGACCCACAUUUCUGAGUGGCACAGUGAUAUUGGAAGAUUCUGAAGGGUAGAGAUUGAACGGAUUGAAAAACCUUAUUUGUGGUGGGGGAUGCUCCCAAUGAAGACAGAAAUUGAAAAACAAUCAGCUCUUAUGUAUAGAUACUGAAAAGACCCUUGAUAAUGUUCAUUGGAGCUCUAUAAGAAGAAUGCCGCAGAAUUUAAAGACGGGCAGACAUUUUUAAGCUGGAGAAAAACAAUACACACAAAACAAAAUGAGGAGCGAAAGAGCAAAAGCAGGUUUAAAAAAGAAAGAAAACACCCUCCAACGUAAAGAAAGCAGCCGUGUUGCAGGAGCUGCGUGCACAAAGGGACAGAGAAGAAAGACUUCCAAGGAUGGGAAGAAUCCCGGGUCCUCCACACUCUACCGGCUUCACAGCAGGAACACAAGGCUCAAAUCAUAAUGCUGGACCAUCAUCAAGUUCUUUGGGUUUGGGCCACUAGCUUCCAAUCUGAAGUAUUUAUGCUGCAACCCGAUGUGAGUUAGGUUGGCCCUGUCUCCACUGCUCUUUAAUCCAGAUUUUAAUCCAGAUUUUCUCUCCACUGGGUCCAGUUUUCUGUUGGAUCUGGUGAGCUGGGAAAGCUGGGGAUUAGAUGGAACUUCUGCACCAAGUUCAGAGGGUGGUGUCUUGAUCUCCAGCUGGGUCAGAGGUUGUUGGAAUGCCCUUGGCUGAGGCUCAGGCCUCAUCACUUACUCCUGUCCAGUGCGGGGAGAAAGUGUGACCUUGGCCACGACACCAUUGGUGCAGGUGGGGAGGGGGGUGGCCGUGGUCUUCUGAUUGACACAGGCAGUGGCUUUAGGAGUGGCUUCGCCAAUGGGGCAGCGUUGGAUUCUGACACUUGUAGUGUUAUGGUGGGGAUUUCCUUAAUUGUUCUGGCCCCUGUGAGCAAAGUUGUUUUUUUCGGUUGUCUCACCCCCCUCUGAAUUGUCUCUUGAUCUUCCUGUUUCAUUGUCUUCUUUUGGGGUAUAGGGGGCAGCUUUGGCGUAACCCUUCCGUCCCUCUGGGCUAGGCUGACAUGGUGACCAACAAUUUCCAGAUGUUCUGCCUGUCCCAGGGGUGUGCCCGGUCCAUAUGCAGCCCUCCUCAAUCUAGCCUGAGGUUUGGGUUCUUUGGGUCUGGGCCACUAGCUUCCAAUCUGAAGUAUUUAUGCUGCAACACGAUGUGAGUUAGGUUGGCCCUGUCUCCACUGCUCUUGAAUCUACCUAUUGAGAUCUUACCUGACAAGGUUCGAUAGGUCAACCAGAUAGAAGGGGCAUAAACAACAUGGAUGGGGCAAUCAGGUGAUCAGCCUCCAAAAUUUUGGCACCUGAAGCAUGAUGGUGGGGAUUUCCUUCAGUGUUUUGGUUCCUGGCAGCAAAGUUGGCCCUUUGUGUUGUCUCACCCCCCUCUGAAUUGUCUCUUGAUCUUCCUGUUUCAUUGUCUUCUUUUGGGGCAUAGGGGGUAGCUUUGGCAUAACCCUUCCGUCCCUCUGGACUAGGCUGACAUGGUGACCAACAAUUUCCAGAUGUUCUGCCUGUCCCAGGAGUGUGCCCUGUCCAUGGGCAGCCCUCCUCUAUUUAGCCCUAGAUUUGGGCCCAGCCAAGGUAUCGCCAGCUGCAGGAAUCUGUCAGAAUCUGUGGAGAUCUAGAAAUAAAAAACAACCUCCUAAAGACCAUAACUAGCAGUCAGUCCAUAGAUUAAGUUGCCUGAAUGUAUUUCUCCUUGCUUUAAUUCAGUACUAUGAUAAUGAUUAUAAACAUGUAUUUCUCUUGCUUUAAUUCAGUACUAUUGUGAUGAUUAUAAACAUGUAUUUCUCUUGUUUUAAUUCAGUACUAUGAUAAUGAUUGUAAACAUGUAUUUCUCCUUGCUUUAAUUCAGCACUAUGAUAUUUAUUAUAAACAUGUAUUUCUCCUUGCUUUGAUGUAUGGAUUUUGUUGCAGGAAGUUGGAUAGAACGUUUUCAAAUAAACAUGAUUUUAGCAUGAUUUUAAAACA